GACAGAGGGUGCAAACGUUGCUCGGAAUCAUUGGGCGUAAAGCGCACGUAGGCGGCCCUGUAAGUCGGAUGUGAAAUCCCUCGGCUCAACCGAGGACGUGCAUCCGAAACUGCAGAGCUCGAGUAUGGAAGAGGUCGCGGAAUUCCCGGUGUAGGAGGUGAAAUUCGUAGAUAUCGGGAGGAACACCAGUGGCGAAGGCGGCGACCUGG
rnacentral:rRNA from 1 species